rnacentral:rRNA from 1 species
UUCGAGUGGCGACGGGUGAGUAACGCGUGGGUAACCUGCCUUACACAGGGGGAUAACACCUGGAAACAGGUGCUAAUACCGCAUAAGCGCACAGGGCCGCAUGGCCCGGUGUGAAAAACUCCGGUGGUGUAAGAUGGACCCGCGUCUGAUUAGCUUGUUGGCGGGGUAGAGGCCCACCAAGGCGACGAUCAGUAGCCGGCCUGAGAGGGUGGACGGCCACAUUGGGACUGAGACACGGCCCAAACUCCUACGGGAGGCAGCAG